AUGGCACGAAGCAUGUUGCAGAGUAAAGGCAUGUCGGGCAAGUUUUGGGGUAAGGCGGUCAAUACGUCUAUUUAUUUGCUAAAUCGGGCUCCAACCAAGAGUGUGGUUGGGAUGACGCCGCACAAAGCAUGCAAAUUGGCGGAUCGGAGUACUCCAAUGGUGUUGGUUGGCUACGAAAAAGGCAGUAAGGCAUACCGUGCGUGCAACCCCUCGACCAAUAAGGUGGUUGUGACACUCGACGUGGUCUUUGAAGAAGCAAAGUCCUGGAAUUGGAACUCCAUCGAGAUGCGUGCAGAUAAAGGUACUCAACUGGAUACAUCGGCCACGACAAACGACGUGAUAGAAAAAGGAGGCGCGCUAACAACUCCCGCUGCUUCACACGCGCGAGAGGAACCGGCAGCCAACGCGCUCGAGGGCACGUAUGGCACGCCUGGCAGCAGCAUGCGCAACGCUCCCCCUACUGGCAUUGUUCCGCUUGGAGGGCCAGAACAUGCACACCAUCUCAUAGAUCCCAUGGCCCACCACCAGCCAGCCCAGGCGCUGAGAGCCUGUUCGCUGCAUGCGUUUCCAGCAGGCAGCAAAGCAGCCCAUGUGCUGCAACAUCAGCACAUGAAGGGCACGUACAUGAAGGCCAUGUCCAUGAUCAUGUUACGCCUGUUUUGA
rnacentral:rRNA from 1 species